rnacentral:rRNA from 1 species
AUUGAACGCUGGCGGCAUGCCUUACACAUGCAAGUCGAACGGCAGCACAGGGAGCUUGCUCCUGGGUGGCGAGUGGCGAACGGGUGAGUAAUGUAUCGGAACGUGCCCAGUAGUGGGGGAUAACUACUCGAAAGAGUGGCUAAUACCGCAUGAGAUCUCUGGAUGAAAGUGGGGGACCGCAAGGCCGCAUGCUAGUGGAGCGGCCGAUAUCAGAUCAGGUUGUUGGUGGGGUAAAGGCCUACCAAGCCUGCGACCUGUAGCUGGUCUGAGAGGACGACCAGCCACACUGGGACUGAGACACGGCCCAGACUCCUACGGGAGGCAGCAGUGGGGAAUUUUGGACAAUGGGCGCAAGCCUGAUCCAGCAAUGCCGCGUGCAGGAUGAAGGCCUUCGGGUUGUAAACUGCUUUUGUACGGAACGAAAAGGCUCUGGUUAAUACCUGGGGUCCAUGACGGUACCGUAAGAAUAAGCACCGGCUAACUACGUGCCAGCCGCCGCAGUAAUAC